rnacentral:rRNA from 1 species
UAUAGAUGGAUCCGCGCUGCAUUAGCUAGUUGGUAAGGUAACGGCUUACCAAGGCAACGAUGCAUAGCCGACCUGAGAGGGUGAUCGGCCACACUGGAACUGAGACACGGUCCAGACUCCUACGGGAGGCAGCAGUAGGGAAUCUUCCGCAAUGGGCGAAAGCCUGACGGAGCAACGCCGCGUGAGUGAUGAAGGUCUUCGGAUCGUAAAACUCUGUUAUUAGGGAAGAACAUAUGUGUAAGUAACUGUGCACAUCUUGACGGUACCUAAUCAGAAAGCCACGGCUAACUACGUGCCAGCAGCCGCGGUAAUACGUAGGUGGCAAGCGUUAUCCGGAAUUAUUGGGCGUAAAGCGCGCGUAGGCGGUUUUUUAAGUCUGAUGUGAAAGCCCACGGCUCAACCGUGGAGGGUCAUUGGAAACUGGAAAACUUGAGUGCAGAAGAGGAAAGUGGAAUUCCAUGUGUAGCGGUGAAAUGCGCAGAGAUAUGGAGGAACACCAGUGGCGAAGGCGACUUUCUGGUCUGUAACUGACGCUGAUGUGCGAAAGCGUGGGGAUCAAACAGGAUUAGAUACCCUGGUAGUCCACGCCGUAAACGAUGAGUGCUAAGUGUUAGG